UUAUGAUUGAUUGGAUCAAUCGUAACUCUUUGUAAGACAAGGCCCAGAGGAAAUAAUAUUUGUUUUUCCUCUGUGGCACGAAUGGUCUGUUGUUGAUAUAUUCUGGGAUGUUUAACUUGUGUAGAUUUAUUUUUUUUUAAUAAAUGAGCGAUAGGAAGCGUGUUUGUUAAAAAAAUCAUGGCAAUCAUGGCAUUUGAUUGGCUAAUCUUGAGCAAAUAUACAUGUAUUCUUCAUAAUUAUCAUUGAUAUCUAGUUUGUGAAAGCAGGGCUUGGCCCAUCCGAGCUUAAACAUGUGUUCUGUUGCCUAAGAGCGAAUUUAUUUUGCCGAGUAAUUAUUCUCGGAGAGAAAAGUGUUGAACAUUACCCACAUUGACCCAAACGACAGGAUAGUAUUGAGGAGAACCAUCAAGGAAAUGAACUCUCCAACCCCACAAAGUGGGAAAAACCGACGCUAAACGUUGAUGAUGACAGAUAUGAAUGACGUGAGUGUCAAAUGUGUUAACCAAUCAACCUGCUACCGUUAAUUUUUUUUACCCUAUGAACCCUCAAUGAUUUGGGAUGGUCGUGACCCUAUCCCUGAAUUACUUGCAGAUAUCAAGCUUAUCGGCAAAAUGAAGAAAUACACGACAUUUGAAAUAUCUUUUGAUUCAAGCCCAGCCGUGCCAAUUGCACCUUACUCUGCUGGUACCCGGCCUGGCCCGUCUGAUGUUGAUAGCUUUUCCAUGCUGAAGAUAAUCUCAGAUAUUGUCUCAAAAUCACUGCUUUGACAGAAGUAAGAUUCAUCAAUAGCUUACGCAUAAUUUGUAUACGACUUGCCAUAUUAUCACACAAGCUUACUUUUUAGUAAAACCUGACAAAUGAAAGCCAUUUAUCAACAAUAUUAUCUGAAAGUCUCUUAAGAUGAUAUCAUUUUUCGAAGGUCAUCUUACAUACAAAACCUUUGCUUAUGACUGGAAGCGUUAUUCUGGCUUUUAGGUUACAGUAAUUGUAUUUGCAUUUGCGUGUUCAUGGUGAAGCCGAUUAUCAGGCUUUUUGGGUUCAAAGGGUUAAAGAUGUAUGCCAUAAUCGGCUAUCAGGGUGAGGUAUAAUUUUUUAUUUUAAGGGCUAUUAUUUCUCCACAUUGAUGCAAUUGGUGAAUAUUUAUAUAAUAUUGACUGGCUUUGAGGGGAAUAUCAAAUAUAUUACCCUCAAAAGAGUCAUAUUGGUCAUAUAUUUUUUAUGUUCCCUGAAACAAGAGCCAGUUAAUAUUUUCAUUAUCAUCCAAACCAGAUAUCUAGAGCAAAAGAAAUGAAAAUGGAGAUAUUUCUUUUAAGAAUAGAGUUGUAUUGUGUCAUGUUUAUCAUGGUCUAAGAUCUGCACUUUACCAUUAUGACGUACUUGUAAACACUCGUCCAGCGUUGUCUUUAUUAUGACUUAGGCCCCUCUAUCGUUGGUGCGCUGAUCAUUAUGAAGUUUAUCUCUUAUUUACGCAUCCUCAAAUGCCCGGAUGUGAGACCAGGGAAAAUACAAAGGUAUAUUUUGCAUCGUCUCUGUAUUCAAAGUCAAUACGUGCAUAGAGACCGAGCAAAAUACAAAUACCGGUGAUAUACAGUGUAACUAUCCCUUCCCUAUAUUCAGGAAAUGUAGGGCAGUACGGUUUUGUAAAUGACCAAUUCAGAUGUCUGAUAUGGGUAAUAAUGAAGGACAUUUUUCAUUUCAAGGGCUACCUUUUUCAUUCAACAGGCACUUAUGCUGUGAAAGUGUAUCUAAUUGUUCUCCUGUAUGUACAGUAGGAUGUUGAUUUGCUAAAUUAUCUUGAGUAUGUGUGCGGCAGUUUUGGGGGCAACUGUAGAAAAGAUGGUUGUCCCAAAACUUGCCCCAAAGCAUACUAUUUUGCUCAUUUUAGGGGUAAUUUUGGCUGUCAUAAGGUAGUAUUUAUUGUCCAAAUAAAUGAAUAAGUGGAAAUUUGCAUUUUUACAUGGUAUUGAACAUACAUAACAUAGCAUGGAGAAUGAACAAAGUACAGAAAAUCGAAGGAUCACUAUAGACAAUUCUGAUAUACACGUGCUUAGCAUUUGAAACAAUUAAUUUUGGCUGACAUCAGUGUGAUUUUGCCUGUUGCUCUCAUGUAUUGCCUGCUACACUUUUAGCUUUCCAUAGUCAACUUUCCAUACACAACUUUGCACUAGUUUAAACCAAAGUAUAACAUUUUUGUUUUCUUUGUUGAAUCUUUAUUGCUUCAAUAUUAAAAACAAAAUAUAUGUACAAUAUUCAUCGUGUACAACAAGAUACAUCAAUAUUCAUCGUAAUGAAGAUAAAGUACAUCAUUAAAUACAUAACAAA